rnacentral:piRNA from 2 species
UGAAGUGUCAACACAGGCUGA